GUCCUGUGAUGACCUGUGGCGGAAGGUAAACCGAAGGUGACUGCGGUUAACGUCCUCGAUGGGAAUGGCCACCUUCAAGAAUUGAAAAAGAAGUUUAAGCACUGUUAUCAAUAUCAUCCAGCGUAACAGCUUUAUUCAACUGGAGCUAUCAGAUAUGAAAUUCCAGAUCAUGGGAGGGAGAGUUUGAAGAAGGAAGAACCACCAAUAGAAAGCGGUCCCCAAAGAGGUAUCGGGGAUGGCACCCAGACAGGAGCACAUGUACCACUGCCCAGAAUGUGCAUUUCACUAGACAAGUGACCACAAAAGGCGGAGCACAGAGGACUUUUAGGAUGGUGAAGCUACCCAGUGAGAGACUACAAUGAGAUAAUUGGUCUUUCACAUUCCUCGUGCUGUCACCAAAAAUAACAGAGCAACAGCAGGGUGGAGGAAGAGCACCAGCACGGUGGAGGAAGAGCACCAACAUGGCAGAUAAAGAGCACCAACAUGGCGGAGGAAGAGCACCAACAUGGCGGAGAAAGAGCACCAACAUGGCAGAGGAAAAGCACCAACAUGGCGGAGGAAGAACACCAACAUGGCGGAGGAAGAACACCAACAUGGCGGAGAAACAGCACCAACAUGGCGGAUGAAGAGCACCAACAUGAAGCUAACCGCGUUCUCUUCACAGUUUGCCUUUCUUCCUCUUCUUCGUUGCUUUGACCGUCCUGCACAUAUCCAUUCUUAUGUCCAUCACCAAGACCUGAAAACCUCCACUGACUGGCUUCCCUACAGACUGAGAAUAUGG
rnacentral:lncRNA from 10 species